AAAGAUGACGAGAGCGAGAGCGUUGUAACGUCUGUAAAAUGGUCAUUUCAGGUCAUGUAUCUGAAACUGUACACACGAGUGCCGCUGCUUCCUGACCGAGCAGCACAUCUGUUACGUUAAGGGUUAAACAUCCUAUGUUAUAACAACAUUAUCUCCACGCAGGCUGGCUCAGCAGAUUUUGUGUUUGACUAAGACUUGUGUUGAGGCUGAAAACCUGUGUUGGGCCUACCACACAGAAAACUAGUCAGGAAUAGUUAAGACAAUCAAUAAAGGAUCAGAGCGAUCAACGAAAGCUGUGGUAUCAAUAAAGUCUUAUCGAUUCCCAUCCCUGGACAACAUGCAGCUUCCUGAAAGAGGAUCUCUCCAGCAGACAGAGGGGAACGAUAUUACAGAUCAGGUGACUGAUUUCUGAAAUGAAAACCGGGGAAAUUUCCAGUUCAAUUUUACUGCUUGGUUAUGAACUCCUGACCAAUGAUUGAGCCAGCUAACCUUUUUUUGUCUACAGACAACAACAACAACAACAACAACAACAACAAAGAAA